AGCAGCCGCGGUAAUUCCGGCUCCAAUAGCGUAUAUUAAAGUUGUUGCAGUUAAAAGCUCGUAGUUGAAUUUUAGGCCUGGCCAGGCGGUCCGUCUUUGGCGAGUACUGUCUUGUUGUCGGGUCUUCCUUCUGGUGAACCAGUAUGCCCUUUAUUGGGUGUGUUGGGGAGCCAGGACCAUUACCUUGAAAAAUUAGAGUGUUUAAAGCGGGCUAUUGCUUGAAUAGAUUAGCAUGGAAUAAUAGAAUAGGACGUUGUGGUUCUAUUUUGUUGGUUUCUAGGACCACCGUAAUGAUUAAUAGGGAUAGUUGGGGGCAUUAGUAUUCAAUUGUCAGAGGUGAAAUUCUUGGAUUUAUUGAAGACUAACUAUUGCGAAAGCAUUUGCCAAGGAUGUUUUCAUUAAUCAAGAACGAAAGUUAGGGGAUCGAAGACGAUCAGAUACCGUCGUAGUCUUAACCAUAAACUAUGCCGACUAGGAAUCGGGCGACGUUAUUUUAAUGACUCGCUCGGCGCCUUAUGGG
rnacentral:rRNA from 1 species